GAUGAAGAACGUAGCGAAAUGCGAUAAGUAAUGCGAAUUGCAGAAUUCCAGUGAGUCAUCGAAUCUUUGAACGCACAUUGCGCCCUUUGGUAUUCCGAAGGGCAUGCCUGUUCGAGCGUCAUUAUCACCCCUCAAGCCCUCGGCUUGGUGUUGGACGGUUUGGUGGAGGCCCCCUCGGGGGCUCCUGCCCCUCCCAAAGACAAUGACGGCGGCCUCGUUGGACCCCCGGUACACUGAGUUCUUCACGGGACACGCAUCGGACACAUGGGUUUACGGGACACGGUCUGCCUCCCCUCAGGGAGAAUCUUUCUAAGGUUGACCUCGGAUCAGGUAGGGAUACCCGCUGAACUUAAGCAUAUCAAUAAGCGGAGGA
rnacentral:misc_RNA from 1 species